rnacentral:rRNA from 1 species
GACGAACGCUGGCGGCGUGCUUAACACAUGCAAGUCGAGCGGGAUCCAACCGGUGGCAACACCGGGGAAGAUCUAGCGGCGAACGGGUGAGUAACACGUGAGCAACCUGCCCCGAAGACUGGGAUAACACCGGGAAACCGGUGCUAAUACCGGAUGUCGUCAUUAGGCCGCAUGACCUGAUGAUGAAAGGAUUCAUCGCUUCGGGAGGGGCUCGCGGGCUAUCAGCUUGNGGUGGGGUAACGGCCUACCAAGGCGACGACGGCUAGCUGGUCUGAGAGGACGACCAGCCACACUGGGACUGAGACACGGCCCAGACUCCUACGGGAGGCAGCAGUGGGGAAUCUUGCGCAAUGGGCGAAAGCCUGACGCAGCAACGCCGCGUGGGGGAUGAAUGCUCGGGUUGUAAACCCUUUCAGCAGGACGAAAUUGACGGUACCUGCAGAAGAAGCCCGGCCAACU